rnacentral:rRNA from 1 species
UACGGAGGGAGCAAGCGUUACUCGGAAUUAUUGGGCGUAAAGGGCGCGUAGGCGAUUCGAUAAGUCUCGUGUGAAAGCCCAGGGCCUAACCCUGGAAGGGCACGGGAUACUGUUGAAUUUGAGUUCCGGAGAGGAAGGCAGAAUUCCCGGUGUAGCGGUGAAAUGCGUAGAUAUCGGGAGGAAUACCAGCGGCGAAGGCGGCCUUCUGGACGGAUACGUGACGCUGAGGCGCGAAAAGCCAGGGGAGCAAAGCGGG